rnacentral:lncRNA from 1 species
UGGGUUAAGCCUUCCCCCUAAUCCUGUAGUGGCUGUCUCAUUGACAGCCACUAGAGGCGCUUGCGUGCUUCUCACUGUGAUUUUCACAGUGAGAGCACGCAAGCGUCCAUAGGAAAGCACUGUAAAUGCUUUCCUAUGCGACGGGCUGAAUGCGCGCGCAGCUCUUGCCGCGCGUGCGCAUUCAGCCCAGGAGGAGGAACAGAGGAGGAGAGAAGGAGGAGAGCUCUCCGCCCAGCGCUGGAAAAAGGUACGUUUUUAACCCUUUCCCCCUUCCAGAGCCGGGCAGGAGGGGGUCCCUGAGGGUGGGGGCACCCUCAGGGCACUAUAGUGCCAGGAAAACGAGUAUGUUUUCCUGGCACUAUAGUGGUCCUUUAACA